CACAGCCGCAGCUUACCAUGCGGUCGAGCGGAACGAUGGGAGCUUGCUCCCAGGCGUCGAGCGGCGGACGGGUGAGUAACACUUAGGAAUCUACCUAGUAGUGGGGGAUAGCUCGGGGAAACUCGAAUUAAUACCGCAUACGUCCUACGGGAGAAAGGGGGCAACUUGUUGCUCUCGCUAUUAGAUGAGCCUAAGUCGGAUUAGCUAGUUGGUGGGGUAAAGGCCUACCAAGGCGACGAUCUGUAGCUGGUCUGAGAGGAUGAUCAGCCACACCGGGACUGAGACACGGCCCGGACUCCUACGGGAGGCAGCAGUGGGGAAUAUUGGACAAUGGGGGGAACCCUGAUCCAGCCAUGCCGCGUGUGUGAAGAAGGCCUUUUGGUUGUAAAGCACUUUAAGCAGUGAAGAAGACCUAACGGUUAAUACCCGUUAGCGAUGACAUUAGCUGCAGAAUAAGCACCGGCUAACUCUGUGCCAGCAGCCGCGGUAAUACAGAGGGUGCAAGCGUUAAUCGGAAUUACUGGGCGUAAAGCGAGCGUAGGUGGCUUGAUAAGUCAGAUGUGAAAUCCCCGGGCUUAACCUGGGAACUGCAUCUGAUACUGUUAAGCUAGAGUAGGUGAGAGGGAAGUAGAAUUCCAGGUGUAGCGGUGAAAUGCGUAGAGAUCUGGAGGAAUACCGAUGGCGAAGGCAGCUUCCUGGCAUCAUACUGACACUGAGGUUCGAAAGCGUGGGUAGCAAACAGGAUUAGAUACCCUGGUAGUCCACGCCGUAAACGAUGUCUACUAGUCGUUGGGUCCCUUGAGGACUUAGUGACGCAGCUAACGCAAUAAGUAGACCGCCUGGGGAGUACGGCCGCAAGGGUAAAACUCAAAUGAUUUGACGGGGGCCCGCACAAGCGGUGGAGCAUGUGGUUAAAUUCGAUGCAACGCGAAAACCUUUACUUGGUCUUGACAUACACAGAAUCUUGUUAGAGAUACGAGAGUGCCUUUCGGGAAUUGUGAUACAGGUGCUGCAUGGCUGUCGUCAGCUCGUGUCGUGAGAUGUUGGGUUAAGUUCCGCCAACGAA
rnacentral:rRNA from 1 species